rnacentral:rRNA from 1 species
UAGGGAAUCUUCCGCAAUGGACGAAAGCCUGACGGAGCAACGCCGCGUGAGUGAUGAAGGUCUUCGGAUCGUAAAACUCUGUUAUUAGGGAAGAACAAAUGUGUAAGUAACUAUGCACGUCUUGACGGUACCUAAUCAGAAAGCCACGGCUAACUACGUGCCAGCAGCCGCGGUAAUACGUAGGUGGCAAGCGUUAUCCGGAAUUAUUGGGCGUAAAGCGCGCGUAGGCGGUUUUUUAAGUCUGAUGUGAAGGCCCACGACUCAACCGUGGAGGGUCAUCGGAAACUGAAAAACUUGAGUGCGGAAGAGGAAAGUGGAAUUCUAUGUGUAGCGGUGAAAUGCGCAGAGAUAUGGAGGAACACCAGUGGCGAAGGCGACUUUCUGGUCUGUAACUGACGCUGAUGUGCGAAAGCGUGGGGAUCAAACAGG